rnacentral:misc_RNA from 1 species
UGUCUUUUUCACUAGUACUCCUCCAGCUCUUAAGUGGAAGAGGAAUGAUGUGUUCAUCAGUUUUAGAGGUGCAGAAAUUCGCAAUACUUUUCUGAGCCAUCUCUACGAAGCUUUGCUUCGAAAAAAUUUAUCUGUCUUCAAGGAUGAAAAUCUUGAUAGAGGAAAAGAGAUCUCACCAUCCCUCCAGUUUUUUACCAAGUUGAUCCAAGCCAUGUUCAAGAUCUGACAGGGAGUUUCAAAGCAGCACUAGAUAAACAUAGAGAUGAAUUGAAGGACUGCGUAGAUAAGGUGGAGAAUUGGAGUCAUGCUUUAACCACAAUAAGCAAAAUAUCAGGGUGGGAUUCACAGAAUAUCAAGCCUGAGUCUGAACUUAUCAAAGGGAUUGUCGAUGACAUUUGCGAGAAAUUAAGAAAUAUCUCUUCAAAUGAUUAUCGCUAUAAUGGGUUAGUUGGAAUUGAUUCACAAGUCAACAAAGUUGAAUCAUUAUUAAAUAUUGGGUCAGAAGAUCAUGCGCAUGUAGUAGGAAUUUGUGGGAUGGGUGGUAAUGGUAAAACAACCAUUGCCAAAAUGAUAUUUGAUGGAAUUGGAUAUCAAUUUGAUGAAAAAUUCUUUAUCCCAAAUUUUAAGGGAGAAAGGGAAGAGCUUGUACCAAGUUACUUGCGAGAUGGAUUCCCUUACAUAAGCAUGGGCUCACUCUAUACACAACAUUCUUCUAUUAGGGGAAGGUUUUGGAAUAAAAAGGUUCUUAUUGUUCUUGAUAAUGUGGAUAGUUCACGGCAUGCAAAAAUUUUUCUUGGAGACUGUAGUUUGAAGAACACAGGAAGCAGAGUCAUUGUCACAAGUAGAGAUAGGCAAGUGCUUAAAAAUGUCUGUACCGAGGGAUGCAUAUAUGAGGUUGAGGAAUUAAAUUAUGGUGAAUCUCUUAACCUCUUCUGCUUGCAUGCCUUUAAACAAAAUUAUCCCAGUGAAGGAUAUAUGGAGCUAUCACAAAAGGCUAUAAAUGAUGCUAAAGGCAUUCCGUUAGCUCUUAUUGUAUUAGGCUCCAAUUUGUAUGGCAAGGGGACAGAAAUAUGGGAAAGUGAGUUGGCGAAACUAGAAGGCAUUCCUGACAAGGAAAUCCAAGGGGUUUUGAAGAUUAGUUAUGAUGGACUAGAUGAGCAUGAAAAGGAAAUAUUUCUUGAUGUUGCAUGUUUCUUUGAAGGGAUGAAUGAAGAAUUUGUCGAAAAUGUACUAAACGGUUGUGGUUUUGAAGCAAAAACUGGGAUUAGAAAUCUUUGUGAUAAGUCUCUCAUAACUAUGUUAAACUACGAAACGUUAGGUGUGCCCGAUUGGAUGCAGCAAAUGGGCAAGGUUUUAAAGAUGCAUAAUUUGAUACAGCAAAUGGGCAGGGAUGUUGUUUGUAGGGAAUGCAUUAAGAACCCUGAAAAACGUACCAGAUUGUGGAACACACAUGAUAUCUGUCGUGUAUUAACAAAAAAUAAGGGGACUGAAACAAUUGAAAGCAUAUCACUAGACAUGUUCGAAAUCGGAGCCCUACAGCUAAGUCCCAUAGCUUUUAAGAGAAUGCAUAAGCUUAGAUUGCUCAAUUUCCACUGUUCCAACAUAGACCUUCCUAAAGGCCUAAAAUUUCUUCCAGAUGAGCUAAGGUUUCUCUGUUGGAAUCAAUACCCUUUGAAAUCGUUGCCUCUAGGCUUUCAGCCAGAAAAUCUGGUAGCGCUAUACCUGUGUUAUAGCCAACUUGAACAUCUUUGGAAUGAAGAUAUGCCUCUGGCAAAUUUGAAAUUCCUUGUCCUCACUGAUUCGGUCAACCUAAUGAGAAUUCCAAACUUGUCCAAAGCCUCAAACCUUGAGGUUUUAGAUUUGGGAGGGUGUACAAAUUUGGUUGGGAUUUCCUUGUCGCUUCAACAUUUGAGCAACCUUACUGAACUAAGGCUAGAUAUGUGCAAAGGUCUUCAAAAUUCACCAAGCUGCAUUCAUAUGGAAAGACUUGAAUUUCUUUGUCUCGAACGCUGCUCAGAGAUCACAGAGUUUCCAAAGAUUCCGUCGAGUAUAAAACACCUGUGUUUAAGAGAAACUGCCAUACGAGAAGUGCCAUCAACAAUUAGGCAUUGCUCUCAGCUUCUUGUAUUGAUUCUGAAAUCGUGCAGAAGUCUUAAGAGUCUUCCAAGAAGCAUUGGUGAGUUGAAAUUUCUUGAAAAGCUUAAUCUUAGUGGGUGCUUAGAAUUGGCAAGUCUUCCAGAUAGCAUUGGCCUGUUGAAAUGCCUUAAAGAACUCAAUCUCAAAGAAUGCUUAAAAUUGGAGAGUCUUCCAAGCAGCAUUGGUGGGUUGGAAUGUCUUGAAAAAUUUAAUCUCAGUAAAUGCUCAAAACUGGAGAGUCUUCCUAGCGGCAUUGGUGGCUUGAAAUGUUUGACAAAUAUUAAACUUAAGGGAUGCUUAAACCUGGCUAGUCUUCCAAGCAACAUUGGGCAGUUGAACUCUCUUCAGUAUCUUAAACUUAAUGGAUGCUCAAAAUUGGAGAGUCUUCCGGACAGCAUUUGCAAUCUAAAAUCCUUUAUAUCCAUCAAAGUCAAAGAUUGUGUAAAUCUCAAUAAACUGCCAGAAAUGCUGUGGAAGUUAGGACGUCUAACAGAGCUUAAUGCAGCUGGAAGUGGGAUAAGAAAACUACCACUCUUCAUCAGAGGACUAGACAGUUCAGAUUGUGUUCAACAAAAAGGUCUGAUAUUGCCUCGGUUGAGAAUAUCUCCUGUAGAAGGUUUGUUCCAACUAGAAUUUGUUUCUCUAAAGGAUUGUGGCAUAUCAGACUUUCCCAAUUGUCUUGUCCACUGCAAGCAUUUGAAAGCGUUGGACUUGGGUGGAAAUAAUUUUGAGAGCAUACCAUCAGAGAUCAAACAACUUCGGUACCUGUACAAACUAGACGUAACAGAUUGCAAGAAACUUCAAUGUUUGCUAGUGGUUCCAUCUCUGCUAGACCUAAAAGCCAGUAAUUGCACAUCUCUGAAUUCAGUGUCAAAGAUAUUCACAGAAGGAAAUAGCCGGAGCAUAGUGGUAGAUCUUGGUAAUUGCAAAAAUUUAGAUCAGAAGGCUUGUAGCAAAAUUAUGGAUGAUGUAAUGCUGCAAUUUCUGUGUAUAGCACAAGAUGUACGCCUAAUGAAACAUGUGUUCCAUGCUUGCGAACUUUGGAGUCAUUGGCUCUCUGACUCGGUAAUAUUUGACAAAGAAACGCACGCCAUCAGAUGCCUGAUCUCUUCUACUCUCAAAACUUCUCUCUCUUUUAAUGCACAUGAACAAGAUCUGCGAGCAAUUAAAUUCCGGCAGGUAUCUCUCGUUCUCUUAGCUCUUUAUUGUCAAGCGUUCAUCAUGUAGAUAGCCAUAUAUAUAGCAAUUGUAUAAAAUCAAUUAUAUAUCUUAAUUUUCAUGGUGUAGACUAGCUUAGUCAUCCCCAGGAGUGAAGUGCCACAGUGGAUGAAGUAUGAUAACAGCGGUUCUUCAUUGUCAUUCAGAUUCAAGCCGUCUUGCUACUGUACUGACUUCGCUGGUUUUGUUUUCUGUGCUGUUUUUGCAUCCAACGUUUAUCCUUAUUGUGAUAUCAAAAGGAUUGGAUGCACAGCCCAAUUCAUUGCCAAUUCUGGAAGCAGUCGUAAUAUCCAUCUAAAUUUUGAUUUCGACAAUAAUGGCAAUGUUUUGCAAUUAGAACAUACAUUCCUUUGGGCUCGGUUGAUUUCUUCAUUGUCCGAUGACCCUUUCAAUAGGGCGGCAUUUCACUUCCGAGCGGAGGACCCUUUGAGUGAGCUCUCUUUUCAGUUCUUCGCAGAAGAUGACCAAGGCAUACGCGAUUGCAAGGUGAUAGUGAAGUGUGGAAUUCAUCCUAUAUUCCACAGUGAUUCAUUCGACCGAGACAAUGAGGAUGGGGAGGAAGAGGGUCAGCUUAUAAUUGCUCCCCUUCAAAAGAUACGAAAACAUCAAGAACUUGAGGAUGAUGAAGAGCAACUACUCCAUAAAAGAUCGAAAGAUUAAUGAAAACAAAAAUCAAGACAAUGUGGAUCAUGAGGACGGCGAGGAAGAGGAACCUUCAAAUUUGAUAGGGAGGCAAGAAUUAAAUUUCCUAAAUCUAAAUAUUUCUUUUCUCAUGUUUGAGUUUAUACUUAUAUAUUUGUUUGAAAGAGAGACAAGAGUGCUUGCCCUCCUAUGUAUUUUGAGUUUAGAACUUGUUUUCAUUGUCUACAGGGUAUGUCAUAAUUUUAUUUUUUUUUAAAGGCCAAACUGUUAAAAAGGUCAAAAUUUUACGUAAAUUAUCAAUUUUGG